UCCUCCUUCUCUCACCGGUGGCAGCAGCCGGAACAGGCCGGUCCGCGGGCCUCGAGGUGUCCUCUCCUUCCACGGCUGGAGAAAGCUCAGAUUGAGGUGAGGAGAAUCAAGGCAUACCUCAGAAAUUUUGUGGGCUCAGUAACAGACCACUGCAGUAAAGCGAGUCACACAUUUUCCAGCUUCCCAGAAGCUGUGAAGAAUACCUUCAAGAAAACAAAGACAUUAGCCAAGAAAGAGGAAAGCAUGAUACCUAGAAGCAAAAGGAACAGAGAAGUCAACAUGAAAAGAAGUGAAGGGAAAAUCAGCAUGAGAGACACACUCAAAGCCCAGAAAGAGCCAAUCCAUACUGGGAAUGGGGAAAAAAAGGCAUAGGGGAGUGCCUCUAGAGGAGAAAAAAAAGUGGAAUAAAUGGAUUACUUGAUAUGGAUGAGCAUUUUAAAAAUGACUGACAGAUGUUUACUUGUUGGGUCUGCUUGAACUGUAGUGGAUAAAAAAAGGACAAACAAAUUGAGCAAACAUAAAACAAUAUAAGUAACUGAAAUUAACAUUAUUUGAAAUAAAACAAAAAAUAGCAUUUGCAGUAACAGCUAAUAUUUAUGUUCAAAAGAAAAAUUGUAACUAAAAUUCCCUUUACUUAAAAUUUGCUAGAAGAUUGUAAUGGACAUUUAUUCGUCUUUGGUCAUCCUAGGCCCUUGACACACUCUUUCUAUUUAGGAGGAAUUGCCCAUUCUACCAAUUUCUACCUUCCCAAGAAAAAAGACAAAACUUUCCUUCUUUCUUAGCUUACCUUGUAGCCAGGGAGCAGGUAUAUGACCUAAGCUCACCAAUCAGAUACACCCAUAGGAACAUAGAUUGGCAUAGAUGUGACAGAGUAGAUGCCUUGCAGAACUCAGCUACCUAGGUGGCAAGAGACCUCCACUUCUGGAUGCAGUGGUGGUAGUGGCUCUAGCGAUGCAGCAAUGAGAAUUCUGCUGCCUGUGCCCAGUAGCCACAGUAUUCACAUUUUCACAGAACAGUUCUAGACUGUUAGUUGUUGUCCUUGGCAGUGCCCACAAUAUUCCUCAAUACAUUAAUUUUCCAUGAAAUUUCAAGAGUGGACGUCUGUCAUUUAAAACAAAACCCAAAUGGAUAACAAGAAUUCAGCAUUUACUGUUGAUAUUUCACAUGCAUUUUUUACUAGGUUAAAAUCCCCUAAACCAAGAUGGUAUAAUAUGAGAACUAUGAUAAUACCUGACAAUGGCAAAGACUUGUAGAAUCUUAAAAAUUGUCCUUCUGAUCAGCCACUGGGGAGGGGAAUCCAGAACUUAUAAUUGUCUAUGCUAGUCAGCUAAAGCCCUAACUGUAAAAACACAGAAUUUUUAACAUUGUUAAGUGCAACAUGUAACUAAGAGAAUGGAAGUGUGUGUGUGUGUGUGUGUGUGUGUGUGGGUGUGGGUGUGUGUGUGCGCGCGCACGCGCGUGCAUGCACCUGCUUUCUGAACUGGCAGUGAGAUUGAAGAUUCUUGGGUGACUUUUAAAGAAGUUAUAAGCCUGUGACACAAGGAACUUAAAAAAAAAAUGAUGGCAGAUUCUUGAUUAUAGCAGUGCCACUGAGCAACCCUAUAACUUAAUAUUUUAGGUGAAAAGUAACAUUUAGACAGGUUAUUUUUCCAGCACUGGAUUUCAAGGUCAAAUAUAUUUCUUCUCGUUGUUUUGGAAGUGCCUACAUUGAAAACAAAAUGAGAAAAGACACGUAAAUGUAUUUUUUAUGAUGGAAUUCUGGAUCUUAAAAAAGUAGAUGUUGAAGCAAUUUGAAGUUGUUACUACAUCAGUGACAAAACCUAGUUAUUUUCCAUGCUGUAAACGCUCCAUACAGAAACAGAAUAAUUACCUGGGACAGUGUUAUAAAAGGAAUGACCCAGAUGCACUUUGGAUUUUGCAGUCUCCUUGUGAAUUCUGCUCAGCUGUCUAUGUAAAGGAUUACAACAUUGUGUACUUAAUCAUCAGCAGAUGUAAGCUUCCAGAAGAAAAACUGUCCCAUAGAUUUUAGCACACUCUGACAUGAAGGGAAGGUUAAUUCCCAGAACUUAACUGUAUUAACAUCCCAGAUAGGGUCAAGGAAUAGAGUGGUCAAUGGUUAGUGUCCUAGUACUAUAUAUGUUAUUCUGAGAGAAUCAAUUCACAAACAAGGACUGAAUUCCAGUUUAUAAUAGCGAUGACACCUUACAUUCGGAUAGUACUUCAAUAAACUUUCAUACAAAAUAUUUUAACUGAUACAAUGCAAAGGCAAUAUAGCAGAAAUGAAAUGUACAAGUAGCAGAGAAGGGACAUGACAGAAUUCAUUUGCUUUUGACUUUGCAUUGCUUUUGGCAAUUCUGCAUGGCAUCAUUUUAAGGCGACCCCUUAUUGUUAUCCUAAGCAGUUGUUUCCUUUGGAUUAUCUUUUAUGUCUUAGUCCUUUUAAUUCAACCCAGUUCAUUCCAUGGAUAAUGACUGCUCUCAGCUCUCAACUUUCCAUCCUCAGAAAUAAUACAAAUCACUUCCUUUUUGCUCAUUCUCUUCCAAUGAUCCAUCCUUGCACACUACCUAGUUCUUCAGUCUACUCUGCUCCCACCCAUGCCCUGUUUUGUUCUAAGUUUCUACUCCCAUUAUUUACAUCCCUAUUUUGUCAUUAUAGCCAUUUCCCCCCUUUAUUACACAUUAAAAUUGUGAUUUUAUAUCCAUUUUCUUAUUUGCUUGUUUCCCCCACUGCACUUUUAUAAGCUCCAUAACAGUAGUCGGCCAGUUAAUUUCUUUCAUUACUGUAGGUGUAUUUAUCACCAGAGUGUCUAACAUACAGAAGUAAGAUAAGUGUAACUUUCAUUGUAAAUGAAUAACUAAAUUUAUGGUAGCAGUUAACCACUUGUAAAGAAAAAAUUAAAUUUAAAUCUUAACUCAUAUCUUAAAAAAAUACAAAUGAAUUAAAGAUUUUGAAAUUAAAAAAGGAAAUUAGAAAAUUUUCCAAGUUAGAUAUUAAUAA
rnacentral:lncRNA from 1 species